AUGGCUACGAAGAAAUAUUUCUUCUCCUAUGGAUCCUUCUCAAUUAAAGAUGGCUCGGAAAUUAGAUUCUGGGAGGACAAGUGGCUAGGAAAUGCCACACUUCGAGAACAAUAUCCGGCUCUAUACAACAUUGUGUGUCAUAAGGGUGAUACUAUCGCCACGGUAAUGGAAUCAUUUCCGCCAAAUGUGACGUUCAGAAGAGAUUUAAUUGGACCCAGAUUUCAAUCAUGGUAUAUCCUGCUCCAGCGGUUGUCCACGGUGCAUUUGUCACAUGGGUCUGAUGUAUUUCGAUGGAACCUACAU
rnacentral:rRNA from 1 species